rnacentral:ncRNA from 1 species
AUAAUAAAAUAAUUAUGUUUUUAAUAAUUUAUUAUAAAUUUAUUUUACAUAUAAAUUUUAGUAUAUAAUUUUAAUUAUUUAAAUAAUAAUUAAUUUAAUUUAUUAAUAGUAAUUAAUAUUAAAAAUUUAAGAAAUUAAGAUUUAGUAAUAUAAAAAUUAAUAACUAAUUUUGUGCCAGCAGUUGCGGUUAAACAAAGAUUAAAUUAAAUUAUUUCAGUUUAUAAUAAAUAAAUUUAUUAUUAAAAUAAAUAUUAAAUUAUUAAGUGAAAUUUUAAUUUAAUUAAAUUUUAUAUUAAGAUUAUGAUUUAAUAAAUUUUAAUAUAAACUAGGAUUAGAUACCCUAUUAUUAAAAAUUUAAUUUAUAAUACUAAAAUAGUAAAUAAUAAUUUAUUGAAACUUAAAUAAUAUGGCGGUAUUUUAGUUCAUUUAGAGGAAUCUGUCUAAUAAUUGAUAAUCCACGAAUAAAUUUACUUAAUUUAUAAUUUUGUAUAUCAUUGUUAAAUAAAUAUUUUUUAGUAAAAAUAAUAUUUAAAAUUUAAGAUUAAAAGUUAAAUCAGAUCAAGAUGCAGAAUAUAAUUAAGAAUAUGAUGGAUUACAAUAAAUAUAUUUAAAUGAAUAAUUUUAUUGUAAUAUAAAUUUGAAGGUGGAUUUAAAUGUAAUUUUAAUUAAUUUAUUAAAAUGAUUAUAAAUUAAAAUAUGUACAUAUUGCCCGUCACUUUCAUUUAAAAGUUGAAAUAAGUCGUAACAAAGUAGAGGUACUGGAAAGUGUUUCUAGAAAGAA